AUUAACUGACUGCAGAUGU
rnacentral:snRNA from 1 species